rnacentral:lncRNA from 1 species
CUGAAUUUCACAUGAUAUUUCACCACUCGAGUAGCAGUUUCCCUAAUUCCAAGCCAUUCAAAGAACUUCAUAAUGAAAUCCACCUUUUAAUUUAGUUCCUGCAUAUGUGUGCCAAGCAGUGUCCCCCCAGAGCCUGAAUCUCUGGUGAUUGCCCUUGCUAAUCCUGGGGACAGAGGGUCAUCUGCUGGGUGGAACUAGGGACUGAAAUCAGGAUUCUGGGGUUUUGUUUUUUUGGCUUCAACAGAUCGGUCCCUGAAUAAAAUUGGCAAGGUUCCUAUCUCCAGCAGGGGCGAUGACACCCUGUUAAGGUGCUGCCCAGUCCCAAAUCAGCAGUCCCAGCAGUCCUGCUCCAGAAAACCCAUCCUUUGUCCAAGUGUGUCCUUGGCGUUCAAGCAUGUGUGUAACAGGACACACAAGGAGGAGGCAGUGUGGGGAGCAAGCAUGUUUUGUGUCAUUUGCUGAGUUCCCAAUAAACUUUGGCUGCCUCUCCUGACUCCAGCAACUCUGCCACUCCCAUACUUAAGCCAUAGCAUUGAUAUCACUACUGAUAAAAACAUCUCCCCAUUUCUGUGAGCAGAGAGUCAGGGUGUAGCUGAGUUGGAAGAAGCCACUGUUCUUCUGUCAGCCAUCCGUCUUCCCAAGAACACCCCAAAUCCACCAUCCUUCUCCUCCCUGGUUCUCUAUGCCUCUCCCUGAACCUCCCACGCCUGGGAUCCUUUCGCUUCCACUUCACAUUCCAGCUUGUCAAAGAGUCGAGGAUUGAGGAGUGUCUCCAGGCAGCAGCAUAUACUUCCAACAGCUGCCAGUUCUGAUCUGGAGGCGCUGGCGGUGAGCGCUCGGGCCGGGCGGGAUCCGGCGCCAUCCUCGGGGCCGGCGCGUGCUAGGAGGGCGCGGCUCGCGGCGGGGCGCCCGGCCGGCGGGGGCGGCCGCCCAGUCCUUUCUGCGGGAUUCCCAGAGCGCAGCACAUCUUCACAAAGAAGAAUGGGGGACUUGGAGCCAAGGAUGCUGUCAUCCAGUUUCCCGAGGGUCUGGAUCUGA